GCCAGGCACGGUGGUAUGUACCUGUAGUCCCAGCUACUCAGGAGGCUGAGGUGGGAGCAUCACUUGAGCCCAGGAGAUUGAGACUGCAGUGUGCUAUGCUAAUCAGGUGUCUGUACUGAGUUCAGCAGCAGGGGACCCCUAGGUUGCCUAAGGAGGGGUGAGCAAGCCCAGGUGGUAAAGGGUACAGGUCAAAACUCUACCAAUCAGAAGUGGGAUCACACCUGUGCAUAGCCACUGUGUUCCAGCCUGGGUAGCAUAGCGAGAUCCCGUUCUU
rnacentral:SRP_RNA from 1 species